AGCGAACGCUGGCGGCAUGCUUAACACAUGCAAGUCGCACGGGCGGGGGCAACUCCGUCAGUGGCGGACGGGUGAGUAACGCGUAGGAAUCUAUCCUUGAAUGGGGGACAACCGUGGGAAACUACGGCUAAUACCGCAUGACGCCUGAGGGCCAAAGACGAAAGUCGUUUGAGGAGGAGCCUGCGUCUGAUUAGGUAGUUGGUGGGGUAAAGGCCUACCAAGCCUACGAUCAGUAGCUGGUCUGAGAGGAUGAUCAGCCACAUUGGGACUGAGACACGGCCCAAACUCCUACGGGAGGCAGCAGUGGGGAAUAUUGGACAAUGGGCGCAAGCCUGAUCCAGCAAUGCCGCGUGGGUGAAGAAGGUCUUCGGAUUGUAAAGCCCUUUUGGCGGGGACGAUGAUGACGGUACCCGCAGAAUAAGCUCCGGCUAACUUCGUG
rnacentral:rRNA from 1 species